GCCUAGCUGGCUCAGUCGGUAGAGCAUGAGAAUCUCAGGGUUGUGGGUUAGAGCCCCAUGUUGGGUG
rnacentral:tRNA from 1 species